rnacentral:rRNA from 1 species
CCCAGACUCCUACGGGAGGCAGCAGUGGGGGAUAUUGCACAAUGGGGGGAACCCUGAUGCAGCGACGCCGCGUGGGCGAAGGAGCGUUUCGGCGCGUAAAGCCCUAUCGGCAGGGAAGAAGGAGGACGGUACCUGACUAAGAAGCCCCGGCUAACUACGUGCCAGCAGCCGCGGUAAUACGUAGGGGGCAAGCGUUAUCCGGAUUUACUGGGUGUAAAGGGGGCGCAGACGGCAGCGCAAGCCAGGAGUGAAAGCCCGGGGCCCAACCCCGGGACUGCUCUUGGAACUGCGCGGCUGGAGUGCAGGAGGGGCAGGCGGAAUUCCUGGUGUAGCGGUGAAAUGCGUAGAUAUCAGGAGGAACACCGGUGGCGAAGGCGGCCUGCUGGACUGCGACUGACGUUGAGGCCCGAAAGCGUGGGGAGCAAACAGGAUUAGAUACCCGCGUAGC